rnacentral:lncRNA from 10 species
ACCAUAGAAACAUGUUAGGUGGCAUCGUAGAGACAGAUGCAACCAACCAAGUACAGAAUGUGGGAAAGUUGACAAGAUAAAGAUGCAGUUUCUUCAACAAACAAAUCACAAAGAAAACAAAACAGUCAUAAGAAGCCUGGCAGGUGCCACAUGGGCCUCUUGCAGCGCUGCCUCCAGUAUUCCUGAAGCUCCACAUAAGAAGUCUGAGUACUCUUAGACCAACAUACUGGAGAGGCCAGUAUGUGUAGGUGCAGGUGCAGUCAUGUGAAUGAUGCCAUGUUGAAUCCUCCAGGCCAGCCAUUGUCAACGUCACAUGAACCAGGAGGAUCACCUAGCCAGCUCUUCCUCAAAUUUCUUACCCAUAUUAUUGUGAGAUGUAAUAAAAUGGUUGUUGAUUUAAGCCACUAAGUUUUGGAGUAAUUUGUUAUAUAACUAUAGAUAACCAGAAUAACAUCUAAUAUUUU